rnacentral:lncRNA from 1 species
GUCCGUGUACAUUGAUACAUUUAUUAGCAAUCACUGUUGCAAGAUGCUAAUGACAUGGAAAUUUUCAACAAAAGAUAUAUGUUAACUUUUUUAACUUAGUCUCACGCUGGGCCUUGUCUUGAUCAUCCGAUUAAGUAAACCUCCGUAAUAGUAAGAUAGUAAGAAGUACCUGCAACACGAGUAAAUUGAACAGCUAGAAUGUAGAUUUGAUGGAGUUAUUUACACUGGUAAAUACUCUAAUUUGCAUUUGCAAUUAAUUUACCUGAAUUUGUACCAUUGUGUAAUGACUGACAAAGCUGAAGGAGGUUAUCAGAAACAUUUUUUUCAUAUGUCUCCACUAUUUAACUUGGCAAACAACCCAUCAAAAUCACAAGAUCUUCAUGUUGUUCGAAACAUAGAGAUCCUGUGAUUUCCUCUGACAGACAAAAAGUUAACUAAUGGGAUUUUAGUAACAAAAAUUAAGUACUA